UCGAGAAUCAUUCACAAUGGGGGAAACCCUGAUGGUGCGACGCCGCGUGGGGGAAUGAAGGUCUUCUGAUUGUAAACCCCUGUCAUGUGGGAGCAAAUUAAAAAGAUAGUACCACAAGAGGAAGAGACGGCUAACUCUGUGCCAGCAUCCGCGGUAAUACAGAGGUCUCAAGCGUUGUUCGGAAUCACUGGGCGUAAAGCGUGCGUAGGCGGUUUCGUAAGUCGUGUGUGAAAGGCGGGGGCUCAACCCCCGGACUGCACAUGAUACUGCGAGACUAGAGUAAUGGAGGGGGAAGCGGAAUUCUCGGUGUAGCAGUGAAAUGCGUAGAUAUCGAGAGGAACACUCGUGGCGAAGGCGGGUAACUGGACAAUAACAGACGAUGAGGCACGAAGGAGAGGGGAGCGAAAGGG
rnacentral:rRNA from 1 species